rnacentral:tRNA from 1 species
AAGGAAUUAGUUAAGAAAAUAAUACUUGGUUGUCAACUGAGAGUCGCAUAGCAUUAUGUAUUUCUUG